rnacentral:tRNA from 1 species
UCCCUGGAGGACUAAUGGUUAGGCCUCAGUGCUCGCACUGCUGCGGCCCGGGUUCGAUUCCUGGCCAGGGGA